rnacentral:miRNA from 1 species
UUUAAGAUCGGUUAUUUAAGAACCGAUCUUAAAAGUGAUGUCUGAUACAACUUUUAAGAUCAGUUCUUUUGUAACCGAUCUUAAA